UUGAGCGCGUUCAAAGGGGUCCUAAUCUUCCAGGGCCCACUGGGCAGGCCUGCAAAAUAAGGGCCCUAGAAACUCCCUGAGGUUUGCAAGUCUUCUCCCGCUCCUCGGAAUUUUUCCCCCUCAUUCGCAUGACUUUUAUUCUGACGGAAACGGCGCGGGCUAGGCCCCAGGAGGGGCGCUUUUCAGGUGCAACUGGCCCGGCGAUCGCGGUGGGCAACCCCUACGAGGCCCCCGGUUGACUGGGAGCUGGCGGUCCGAGCUGUGGCUUGGAAGACUCACACGAUGAAGCCUAGAGCAGCCCGGUUCGUGGAUAAUAAACUCAAGCAACGAGUCAUCCAGUACCUUACCGGUAACAAAUGUGGCAAAUAUGUGGACAUUGGAGUCUUAGCAUCUGAUUUACAAAGAAUGUACAGUAUAGACUAUGGUCGAAGAAAAAGAAAUGCUUUUAGGAUUCAGGUAGAAAAAGUAUUUAGCAUAAUUAGUAGUGAGAAGGAACUUAAGAAUUUAACAGAAUUAGAAGAUAAACAUUUAGCAAAAAGAGCAAGACAAGGUGAAGAGGACAAUGAGUAUACUGAAAGCUAUUCUGAUGAUGAUUCAAGUAUGGAAGACUACCCAGAUCCACAGUCAGCAAAUCACAUGAACAGUUCCCUGCUGUCUUUGUAUCGAAAAGGAAAUCCUGAUUCUGUUUCAAAUACUCCUGAGAUGGAGCAAAGAGAAACCACCUCUUCAACACCACGGAUAAGUUCCAAAACAGACUCUUUUCCCUUGAAGACCCCUGCCAAAGAUUCUGAGGGAGGAUGGUUUAUUGACAAAACCCCAAGUGGAAAGAAGGACAGUUUUUUCUUGGACCUAUCAGAUGAGAAAAGUGAUCCUAAGAAGUCAAUAACUGAGAUACAGGGUUCAAAAGAUUCUUCUCUUUUGGAGAGUGAUAUGAAACGGAAAGGCAGGCUAAAGAAUAAAGGAAGCAAAAGGAAGAAAGAAGAUCUUCAGGAAGUAGAUGGAGAAAUUGAAGCUGUCCUGCAAAAGAAAGCUAAAGCCAGGGGGUUAGAAUUCCAGAUCUCCAACGUGAAGUUUGAAGAUGUGGGAGGCAAUGAUAUGACAUUAAAAGAGGUCUGCAAGAUGCUCAUACACAUGCGUCACCCGGAGGUGUACCACCACCUGGGCGUCGUGCCCCCUCGUGGAGUUCUCCUUCAUGGGCCACCAGGCUGUGGAAAGACUUUACUUGCACAUGCAAUUGCUGGGGAACUUGACCUGCCGAUUUUGAAAGUGGCUGCUCCAGAGAUUGUGUCUGGAGUAUCCGGAGAGUCUGAGCAGAAGCUGAGAGAACUAUUUGAGCAAGCUGUGUCAAAUGCACCAUGUAUCAUUUUCAUUGAUGAAAUUGAUGCUAUUACCCCUAAAAGAGAAGUUGCUUCAAAAGAUAUGGAACGAAGAAUUGUAGCCCAACUCCUAACCUGCAUGGAUGAUCUGAAUAAUGUGGCUGCUACAGCCCGGGUCCUAGUUAUUGGAGCUACUAAUCGACCAGACUCGUUAGACCCUGCUUUGAGACGUGCAGGAAGGUUCGACCGAGAAAUAUGCCUAGGUAUCCCAGGUGAAGCAUCCAGAGAAAGAAUACUUCAAACAUUGUGCAGAAAACUGAGGCUUCCUCAAGCUUUUGAUUUCUGUCACUUAGCACACCUAACUCCAGGCUUUGUUGGUGCUGAUCUGAUGGCACUGUGCCGAGAGGCAGCAAUGUGUGCAGUCAACAGAGUCUUAAUGAAGCUACAGGAACAGGAGAAGAAAGAUCCUGAAAUGGAAGAUUUGCCAUCUAAAGGAGUCCAGGAGGAAAGUCUGGGAACUGGGUCCACUUCUGAAACACAGGAUGAAUUACAGAGGCUGCUGGGGUUGCUAAGAGACCAAGAUCCCCUCUCAGAGGAGCAGAUGCAAGGCCUGUGCAUUGAACUGAAUGAUUUCAUUGUUGCUCUAUCCUCAGUCCAACCCUCUGCCAAAAGGGAAGGCUUUGUCACUGUCCCUAAUGUGACAUGGGCAGAUAUUGGUGCCCUGGAAGACAUUAGAGAGGAGCUCACCAUGGCAAUAUUGGCACCAGUACGCAACCCAGACCAGUUCAAAGCUCUUGGAUUGGUGACUCCAGCUGGGGUCCUCCUUGCUGGUCCUCCUGGCUGUGGGAAGACUCUGCUGGCAAAGGCUGUUGCAAAUGAGUCUGGACUAAAUUUUAUAUCUGUCAAGGGCCCUGAAUUACUAAACAUGUACGUUGGUGAGAGUGAACGUGCUGUGCGACAAGUUUUUCAACGAGCCAAGAACUCAGCACCCUGUGUGAUAUUCUUUGAUGAAGUGGAUGCUUUAUGUCCUCGAAGAUCAGACCGAGAGACAGGGGCAAGUGUCCGAGUGGUGAAUCAGCUACUUACAGAGAUGGAUGGUCUGGAAGCACGCCAGCAGGUUUUUAUUAUGGCAGCCACUAAUAGGCCAGAUAUAAUUGACCCUGCAAUCCUGCGCCCAGGCCGCCUGGACAAAACACUGUUUGUGGGUUUACCACCCCCUGCAGAUCGCCUUGCCAUCUUAAAAACUAUCACAAAAAAAAGUUCUGGAGCCGGAUGGGGUGAUACAACAAUGCGGAUGGAUUUAAUGCCACUGACCUGUACACUGAAAGAUGGUGGAAAUGAAUGGUACCAAACCACCACUGGAUGCAGAUGUAAAUUUGGAAGCAAUUGCUGGUGACCUUCGCUGUGAUUGCUAUACGGGCGCAGAUCUCUCUGCUUUGGUAAGAGAAGCUUCUAUCUGUGCCCUGAGACAGGAAAUGGCAAGACAGAAGAGUGGAAAUGAAAAAGGUGAACUCAAGAUUAGUCAUAAGCAUUUUGAAGAAGCUUUCAAGAAAGUAAGAUCAUCUAUAUCAAAAAAGGAUCAAAUCAUGUAUAAACAGUUUCAGGACUCCCUCAGCUGGUGACAUCUCCAGCAGCUGGCUUAGAGGAGCCCAUCAAGCUGACAGAGAAUCCCCUACACGCUCUGAAGGACCUGCUUUCAGCUGGACACAGGUGCGGCCUCAUGUAAAUAUGUUAUUUUCAAGUGAAUGAGGCCAAGCUGAAGCUGAAGAUGCUUCCCAUCUGGCCAGCCUUGUGUGAAAAUGCCUUCUUCCUCUUUAAGAAAAAGGAAAAUUUUUAAACUGCUGAAAUAAAAUGACUGUUACAUUUUUCAAAUAAAACUUUUAUUUGAGCUA